rnacentral:rRNA from 1 species
CUACGUGCCAGCAGCCGCGGUAAUACGGAAGGUUCGGGCGUUAUCCGGAUUUAUUGGGUUUAAAGGGAGCGUAGGCCGGAGAUUAAGUGUGUUGUGAAAUGUAGACGCUCAACGUCUGACUUGCAGCGCAUACUGGUUUCCUUGAGUACGCACAACGUUGGCGGAAUUCGUCGUGUAGCGGUGAAAUGCUUAGAUAUGACGAAGAACUCCGAUUGCGAAGGCAGCUGACGGGAGCGCAACUGACGCUGAAGCUCGAAGGUGCGGGUAUCGAACAGGAUUAGAUACCCUGGUAGUCCGCACAGUAAACGAUGGAUGCCCGCUGUUGGUACCUGGUAUCAGCGGCUAAGCGAAAGCAUUAAGCAUCCCACCUGGGGAGUACGCCGGCAACGGUGAAACUCAAAGGAAUUGACGGGGGCCCGCACAAGCGGAGGAACAUGUGGUUUAAUUCGAUGAUACGCGAGGAACCUUACCCGGGCUUGAGAUCC